rnacentral:rRNA from 1 species
AAUGAACGUUGGCGGCAUGGAUUAGGCAUGCAAGUCGCGCGAUAAGAUUCCUUCGGGAAUCCGAAAGCGGCGAAAGGGAGAGUAACGCGUAGAUGAUCUACCCCGAGGACUGGGAUAGCGGCGGGAAACUGCCGGUAAUACCAGAUGAUGUCUCCGGACCAAAGGUGUGAUUCCGCCUUGGGAUGAAUCUGCGUCCUAUUAGCUAGUUGGUGAGGUAACGGCUCACCAAGGCGAAGAUGGGUACCGGGUGUGAGAGCAUGGCCCGGCUCACUGGGACUGAGACACUGCCCAGACACCUACGGGAGGCUGCAGUCGAGAAUCUUCCGCAAUGGGCGAAAGCCUGACGGAGCGACGCCGCGUGGAGGAUGAAGGCC